GAUGAACGCUGGCGGCGUGCCUAAUACAUGCAAGUCGAACGAAAAGACGAAAAGCUUGCUCCUUUGAGGUUAGCGGCGGACGGACGAGUAAGACGUCGCUAACCUACCUGUCACACUCGGGCGAAUUCGGGAAAAAGAUGCUAAUACCGCCUAAUAUACUAAACCGCAUGGUUCAAUCGAGCAAGACGCUUUGGGAGACACUUAUAGGCUGUUCCGCGGCGCAUUAGCUAGUGGGUAAGGUAACGGCUUACCAAGGCAACGAUGCGUAGCCGACCUGAUAGGGCGAUCGGCCACACUGGAACUGAGACACGGUCCAGACUCCUACGGGAGGCAGCCGUAGGGAAUCUUCCGCAAUGGGCGAAGGCCUGACGGAGCAACGCCGCGUGAGUGACGAAGGUCUUCGGAUCGUAAAACUCUGUUAUUGGGGAAGAAAAAAUGUUUAUGGAACUAUGCCCGUAUUGACGGUACCUAAUGAAAAAGCCCCGGCUAACUACGUG
rnacentral:rRNA from 1 species